CCUACGGGUGGCUGCAGUCGAGAAUCAUUCACAAUGGGGGAAACCCUGAUGGUGCGACGCCGCGUGAGUGAAGAAGUAUUUCGGUAUGUAAAGCUCUAUCAGCACGGAAGAAAAUGACAGUACCUGACCAUGUAGCCCCGGCUAACUACGUGCCAGCAGCCGCGGUAAGACGGAGGGGGCAAGCGUUAUCCGGAUGUACUGGGUGUAAAGGGAGCGUAGUGGGUUUUGUAAGUGCGUAGGGAAACGCCGGGGCGCAACACCGGAACUGCUUUGGAAACUGUGUAACUGGAGUGCAGGUGGGGCAGGCGGAAUGCCUGGUGUAGCGGUGAAAUGCGUAGAGAUCAGAAAGAACACCGGCGGCGAAGGCAGCCUACUGGGCUAAAACUGACGUUGAGGCUCGAAAGCGUGGGGAGCAAACAGGAUUAGAUACCCCUGUAGUC
rnacentral:rRNA from 1 species